AUGAGGAACAGGGAGAAGCAGACACAGGAAGCUAUGCAGUCCCAGACAAAUUUGCCUUGCUUCCUGACUGUUUCUCUAUGCUUCCUCAACCAAACACUCCAAUUUUCUAUCCUUGGGUAUUUUGAAUUGUAUGCCAUUUGAUGUGAAGCCUUUCAGAAAAUGCAAAAUCAAAGAGAAUUAUCUGAGGUGGUGACUGUAGAAGCGACGAAUUAUCUCACCUCCCAAGCACUGGUCUCAGGGUCGUUUUUUGGGGAUGAAGAAAGAUAUUAGAGUUUUCAGAGGAUAGAAUAUAAGCAAGAAGAAGCCAAGGGAGGUCUGAUAGCGCCAUGGAUGGCAUGGUGACCCCAGUGACUCACAUGGACACCUCUGGAGGGCCUUCUGGAAUUAGAAAAGCUGAAGUAGCUGGAAAACCAUGAAAAAUGGAAGGAUGAUCAACCUCUGCAGUGACUGACUAAUCCAAGACAUUCUUACGUUGUUUCUUAUUCUGGCCUCGAUUGACAAGGCCAUUGAACUUUGUAACCGACCUUGGUCAACCUCCUGACUCCACACCCUAUGACCCCAUCCCUUGCCAAACGCCACCCUAAACUGUAACUCUUGUAACUUUCCACUGCCUUCCCCACAACCUAUAAAACCAACUCCUAUCCCACCUCCCUUCUCUGACUCUCUUUUCUGGCUCAGCCUGCCCAUACCCAGGUGAAUAAACACCCAUCUUGCUCGCACAAA